rnacentral:rRNA from 1 species
GAUGAACGCUAGCUACAGGCUUAACACAUGCAAGUCGAGGGGUAACGAGAGGAAAGCUUGCUUUCCUUGUCGACGACCGGCGCACGGGUGAGUAACGCGUAUCCAACCUGCCCCCAACUAGGGAAUAACCUUGCGAAAGUAAGACUAAUACCCUAUAAUUUCCUCAGAUGACAUCUGACGAGGAAUAAAGAUUUAUCGGUUGUGGAUGGGGAUGCGUCUGAUUAGCUUGUUGGCGGGGUAACGGCCCACCAAGGCAACGAUCAGUAGGGGUUCUGAGAGGAAGGUCCCCCACAUUGAGACUGAGACACGGUCCAAACUCCUACGGGAGGCAGCAGUGAGGAGUAUUGGUCAAUGGGCGGAAGCCUGAACCAGCCAAGUAGCGUGCAGGAUGACGGCCCUAUGGGUUGUAAACUGCUUUUAUACAGGAAUAAAGUUAGCCACGUGUGGUUAUUUGUAGGUACUGUAUGAAUAAGGACCGGCUAAUUCCGUGCCAGCAGCCGCCGUAA